rnacentral:rRNA from 1 species
AGUCACUGACAUUAGAUACCCCGGUAGUCCAGGGUGUAAACGCUGCAGACUUGGUGUUGGGAACCCUUCGGGGGUGCUCAGUGCCGGAGAGAAGUUGUUAAGUCUGCUACUUGGGGAGUACGUCCGCAAGGAUGAAACUUAAAGGAAUUGGCGGGGGAGCACCGCAACGGGAGGAGCGUGCGGUUUAAUUGGAUCCAACACCGUAAAACUCACCAGGGAAGACUGUUACAUGAAAGCCGAGAUGAAGACUCUGCUAGAUUUUCAG